UGUCUGGUGGGUAGUUUGACUGGGGCGGUCUCCUCCUAAAGAGUAACGGAGGAGCACGAAGGUUGGCUAAUCCUGGUCGGACAUCAGGAGGUUAGUGCAAUGGCAUAAGCCAGCUUGACUGCGAGCGUGACGGCGCGAGCAGGUGCGAAAGCAGGUCAUAGUGAUCCGGUGGUUCUGAAUGGAAGGGCCAUCGCUCAACGGAUAAAAGGUACUCCGGGGAUAACAGGCUGAUACCGCCCAAGAGUUCAUAUCGACGGCGGUGUUUGGCACCUCGAUGUCGGCUCAUCACAUCCUGGGGCUGAAGUAGGUCCCAAGGGUAUGGCUGUUCGCCAUUUAAAGUGGUACGCGAGCUGGGUUUAGAACGUCGUGAGACAGUUCGGUCCCUAUCUGCCGUGGGCGCUGGAGAACUGAGGGGGGCUGCUCCUAGUACGAGAGGACCGGAGUGGACGCAUCACUGGUGUUCGGGUUGUCAUGCCAAUGGCACUGCCCGGUAGCUAAAUGCGGAAGAGAUAAGUGCUGAAAGCAUCUAAGCACGAAACUUGCCCCGAGAUGAGUUCUCCCUGAGACUUUAAGUCUCCUGAAGGAACGUUGAAGACGACGACGUUGAUAGGCCGGGUGUGUAAGCGCAGCGAUGCGUUGAGCUAACCGGUACUAAUGAACCGUGAGG
rnacentral:rRNA from 1 species